AGCGGCGGACGGGUGAGUAAUGCCUAGGAAAUUGCCCUGAUGUGGGGGAUAACCAUUGGAAACGAUGGCUAAUACCGCAUAAUGCCUACGGGCCAAAGAGGGGGACCUUCGGGCCUCUCGCGUCAGGAUAUGCCUAGGUGGGAUUAGCUAGUUGGUGAGGUAAUGGCUCACCAAGGCGACGAUCCCUAGCUGGUCUGAGAGGAUGAUCAGCCACACUGGAACUGAGACACGGUCCAGACUCCUACGGGAGGCAGCAGUGGGGAAUAUUGCACAAUGGGCGCAAGCCUGAUGCAGCCAUGCCGCGUGUGUGAAGAAGGCCUUCGGGUUGUAAAGCACUUUCAGUCGUGAGGAAGGUAGUGUAGUUAAUAGCUGCAUUAUUUGACGUUAGCGACAGAAGAAGCACCGGCUAACUCCGUGCCAGCAGCCGCGGUAAUACGGAGGGUGCGAGCGUUAAUCGGAAUUACUGGGCGUAAAGCGCAUGCAGGUGGUUUGUUAAGUCAGAUGUGAAAGCCCGGGGCUCAACCUCGGAAUUGCAUUUGAAACUGGCAGACUAGAGUACUGUAGAGGGGGGUAGAAUUUCAGGUGUAGCGGUGAAAUGCGUAGAGAUCUGAAGGAAUACCGGUGGCGAAGGCGGCCCCCUGGACAGAUACUGACACUCAGAUGCGAAAGCGUGGGGAGCAAACAGGAUUAGAUACCCUGGUAGUCCACGCCGUAAACGAUGUCUACUUGGAGGUUGUGGCCUUGAGCCGUGGCUUUCGGAGCUAACGCGUUAAGUAGACCGCCGGGGGAGUACGGUCGCAAGAUUAAAACUCAAAUGAAUUGACGGGGGCCCGCACAAGCGGUGGAGCAUGUGGUUUAAUUCGAUGCAACGCGAAGAACCUUACCUACUCUUGACAUCCAGAGAACUUUUCAGAGAUGAAUUGGUGCCUUCGGGAACUCUGAGACGGUGCUGCAUGGCUGUCGUCAGCUCGUGUUGUGAAAUGUUGGGUUAGUCCCGCAACGAGCGCAACCUUAUCCUGGUUGCCACGAGUAAGUCGGGAAUCCGGGA
rnacentral:rRNA from 1 species